GAUGAACGCUGGCGGCGUGCCUAAUACAUGCAAGUCGAGCGAACAGACGAGGAGCUUGCUCCUCUGACGUUAGCGGCGGACGGGUGAGUAACACGUGGAUAACCUACCUAUAAGACUGGGAUAACUUCGGGAAACCGGAGCUAAUACCGGAUAAUAUAUUGAACCGCAUGGUUCAAUAGUGAAAGACGGUUUUGCUGUCACUUAUAGAUGGAUCCGCGCCGCAUUAGCUAGUUGGUAAGGUAACGGCUUACCAAGGAAGCGAUGCGUAGCCGACCUGAGAGGGUGGUCGGCCACACUGGAAGUGAGACACGGCCCAGACACCUACGGGGGGCAGCAGUAGGGAAUCUUACGCAAUGGAGGAGAGCCUGACAGUGCAACGCCGCGUGAGUGAUGAAGGUCUUCGGAUCGUAAAACUCUGUUAUUAGGGAAGAACAAAUGUGUAAGUAACUAUGCACGUCUUGACGGUACCUAAUCAGAAAGCCACGGCUAACUACGUG
rnacentral:rRNA from 1 species